GUGUGUCGUGAGGCAUGCUGGAGGUAUCAGAAGUGCGAAUGCUGACAUAAGUAACGAUAAAGCGGGUGAAAAGCCCGCUCGCCGGAAGACCAAGGGUUCCUGUCCAACGUUAAUCGGGGCAGGGUGAGUCGACCCCUAAGGCGAGGCCGAAAGGCGUAGUCGAUGGGAAACGGGUUAAUAUUCCCGUACUUGGUGUUACUGCGAAGGGGGGACGGAGAAGGCUAUGUUGGCCGGGCGACGGUAGUCCCGGUUUAAGCGUGUAGGCUGGUUUUCCAGGCAAAUCCGGAAAAUCAAGGCUGAGGCGUGAUGACGAGGCACCACGGUGCUGAAGCAACAAAUGCCCUGCUUCCAGGAAAAGCCUCUAAGCAUCAGGUAACAUCAAAUCGUACCCCAAACCGACACAGGUGGUCAGGUAGAGAAUACCAAGGCGCUUGAGAGAACUCGGGUGAAGGAACUAGGCAAAAUGGUGCCGUAACUUCGGGAGAAGGCACGCUGACAC
rnacentral:rRNA from 1 species